CAUACUGGUUAGAUCAACAUCGGUUCAUUCGCCGACCCACUUGAUCCAUCGGCUUCACCAUUCCAUAUCUACGCUGUCCAGAGCCCGAUCACUGUAAACUUAGUCUCCAGAUUUUCAUCUCAGUGAUGCCAACGUUUCUGUGCAAUGAUUACAUUUGAGUCUAUCAGCUGCUAUGGAGAAUGGAUGCAUGCAAACUCAGAUUUUUGGUGAAUUCUUAACGGCGUUUCCAGCCAAUUUUUGGGUUGAUUGAGCAGUUCGUCCAAUGCAAGUUCAUCUUCGAAAAGGGAGAUUCUGACCUCUUCUCGAAUUGCUGCUGUCAGCCAACUUCGAUGGCCAGAAACUGCAAGUUUGAGCCUUUUUAUCAGUACGACUUCUUCAUAAAAGUUGUUCGAAAUUGCGUCUUCUAUACUUUUCUCGAAAAUCAUGAUAAUCCAACGGUUAAUUCGUUCUCAAUCAAGUUUCUACUCAGAUUGGGUCAUGUUUCUCCAUCGACAUUUGAGUUACUUUCAUGAAGUUUACAUCUCUAUCUUGAGUUCACACAAUUGAUUUUACAAUUGGAUGACGAAGCAUGGAAUCUGGUUGCACAAGCCAAAGGCAGAGGUAUUGCUUGACCUGGAAUAACAUUCGAAGUACUUUGAUUCAAGUUGGUCUUGCAGGUACUGUGCACGAGGAUUGAGGAGGAUUUCGGGACUGAGUUGGGUGCUACAUUUUUCUUUAACUAUUUGGUAUAUUUACCUACACAUUUUAUUCGCCUCUACUUAAUUGUUAUUGU